rnacentral:rRNA from 1 species
GACGUAGGGUGCGAGCGUUUGUCCGGAUUUAUUGGGCGUAAAGAGCUCGUAGGCGGCUUGUUACGUCGGCUGUGAAAACCCGCGGCUCAACCGCGGCCUGCAGCCGAUACGGGCAGGCUAGAGUUCGGUAGGGGAGACUGGAAUUCCUGGUGUAGCGGUGAAAUGCGCAGAUAUCAGGAGGAACACCGGUGGCGAAGGCGGGUCUCUGGGCCGAUACUGACGCUGAGGAGCGAAAGCGUGGGGAGCGAACAGG